rnacentral:ribozyme from 1 species
CGGGGUCGAUGAAAGCCCACCUUGUCGUGGUGACCCCGCCCGAACUUAGUUACUUAGUUACUAAGUCGCUAAGAGGCUU